rnacentral:rRNA from 1 species
GAUGAACGCUGGCGGCGUGCUUAACACAUGCAAGUCGAACGAAGCAUUUGCGACAGAUUUCUUCGGAUUGAAGUUGCUUAUGACUGAGUGGCGGACGGGUGAGUAACGCGUGGGUAACCUGCCUCAUACAGGGGGAUAGCAGCUGGAAACGGCUGGUAAUACCGCAUAAGCGCACAGUACCACAUGGUACAGUGUGAAAAACUCCGGUGGUAUGAGAUGGACCCGCGUCGGAUUAGCUAGUUGGUGAGGUAACGGCCCACCAAGGCGACGAGCAGUAGCCGACCUGAGAGGGUGACCGGCCACAUUGGGACUGAGACACGGCCCAGACUCCUACGGGAGGCAGCAGUGGGGAAUAUUGCACAAUGGAGGAAACUCUGAUGCAGCGACGCCGCGUGAGUGAAGAAGUAGUUCGCUAUGUAAAGCUCUAUCAGCAGGGAAGAUAGUGACGGUACCUGACUAAGAAGCUCCGGCUAAAUACGUGCCAGCAGCCGCCGUAA